UACGGGGGGAGCAAGCGUUGUUCGGAUUUACUGGGCGUAAAGCGCGCGUAGGCGGCCCUGUAAGUCCGCUGUGAAAGUCCAGGGCUCAACCCUGGGAUGCCGGUGGAUACUGUCGGGCUCGAGUCCGGAAGAGGCGAGUGGAAUUCCUGGUGUAGCGGUGAAAUGCGCAGAUAUCAGGAGGAACACCAAUGGCGAAGGCAGCUCGCUGGGACGUGACUGACGCUGAGACGCGAAAGCGUGGGGAGCGAACAGG
rnacentral:rRNA from 1 species